UCUAAUGUCAAGGAGAAGGAACAGAAAAGUGCAGAAGUUUGUUUUACUGUUUAAGCAGGACAACCCACAGGUUCUGGACAGCAUGUCGAUAACCUGUAGUUUCAGCCUGGCAUACCAUUGGUUUUUCCUCCAAUCCCAAUGAUUCGGAGAACUUUACAGAAGAUCAAAGCAGACCAAGCUUAAGUGAUCGCUGUCCUAACCGGCCGAACUGGCGCUGGUUCUCGGCAUUGCCGAACCGGCGCUGGACUACUGGGAGCUUCCAUUCUCAGAUCAACUCCCGGAAAAUGUUCUUCCGUAGAAAGCUA